AAACAAAAAUGGUAAAUUAUCAUUUGACAAUUUGAGAAGAUGAGAUUAGAGAGUGGUAUGGGUUUUCUCUUGGCUAUUCUUUAUGCAAUUACGCUCAUUCGUAUGGUAACAGUCGAAGCGCAACGAGAAUGCGUAGUGUCCAUUUCACUGCCACCACCGCCACCACGGGCUACCGCAAGUUGGGGCGGCAGCUGGAGUUGUUGGGGUGACCGCCUAUGCGACAAGAAAAGAGUGCGAAGACCGGUAUUACCACCACGUGCUAUCCGCGAGAAGGGACGUUAAAAAUUAAGAUAAUAAAGUCAUGAUAAUGGUGAUGGUGUGUGGGUUACAACUUACAUGCGCAAGAGAAUCCGUCCUCCUAAUAAUAUGUACUCUUUAUCUCGAAAUUAAUAUAUAUGGUCUUCGAGUAUAAAUACGUGUUAGGUUUGUUCAUCUUCAGUUUUAGAUAAUAAAAAAAUAAAAACCCAAUUAUAUCGUCUA